rnacentral:rRNA from 1 species
GUACUGUGCAAACGUUAUUCGGAAUCACUGGGCUUAAAGGGUGCGUAGGCGGUGAUUUAAGUAGGGUGUGAAAUCCCUCGGCUCAACCGAGGAACUGCGCUCUAAACUGAAUCACUUGAGUAAGAUAGGGGUGUGCGGAACUUCCGGUGGAGCGGUGAAAUGUGUUGAUAUCGGAAGGAACGCCAGUAGCGAAAGCGGCACACUGGGUCUUAACUGACGCUGAGGCACGAAAGCCAGGGUAGCGAACGGGAUUAGAUACCCCGGUAGUCCUGGCUGUAAACGAUGAGCACUAGUUGGAAGGCGCUUACGCAUUUUCCAACGUAGCAAACGUAUUAAGUGCUCCGCCUGGGGAGUAUGGUCGCAAGGCUG